UCUCACGUUUACAACUUUUCAGACAUACACAUCAUUAUCACACUUUUCGUUCUGUACAUUUUUGUUAUCGUGUUUCUAGCAUAAACGUGUUUCACAGUAUAUAAUUAAGUAGUCAUGAAAGUAAUAACGAGGGAAGAUCAGGGGCAAACUGGUUGUAAAGGGCAAGAAGCAAAUGUCACUGAACAGGAUGCAUCUUCUAUGGCUGUUAGCAACUAGUAGUUAGUGAUCAUAAACAUAUUCCUGAGGUCACACCUUGGGGAGGUGCGACUGGUAUUCAGAGAACCCGCUACUGAACAGGUUAUAGAAGUGACUGCCUAUCUGAUCGCCCCGAGGGACCAACCAAGAACCCAUGGCGUUAAUGUGAUGAUUAAGCUGUCUAGCCACAGAGGUUGUUUUUUCGAACGACGUAGAAGAUUUCCCGCAAAUGGCAUUAAGUACUUGUUCGGACUAAUGAGAAGCGCUGAG